rnacentral:rRNA from 1 species
AAGGAUUCCCUUAGUAAUGGCGAAUGAACAGGGAUGAGCUCAGCAUUGAAAUCUGGGCCUUGGCCCUGAAUUGUAAUCUCGAGAAGUGCAACCAACAGCGGCGCAGGUGUAAGCCUCUUGGAAAAGAGCACCAGUGAGGGUGAGAGUCCCGUGUGUCACCUGCAGUCCUCUGUGUACGGUGUGCUUUCGAAGAGUCACGUUCCUCGGGCUUGGAGCGCCAAAGGUGGUAAAUUUCAUCUAAAGCUAAAUAUAGGUUUGAGACCGAUAGCAAACAAGUACCAUGAGGGAAAGAUGAAAAGGACUUUGGAAAGAGAGUUAAAAGUGCCUGAAAUCGCUGAAAGGGAAGCGAAUGGGACCAGUGUUUCUUGUGGAGCUUGCUGGGCGUAAUCUGGAUGGAGUUCUGGUGCAGCGCAAGCGUACCUGAGCUUUUUGAAAGUGCGUGCUUGGUGCUGCUCUGCUUGUGUGUCAACGUCGGUUUGGAGAUGUGGAAAACCCGUGGAAAAUGGAUGCCUUCUUACGGGGGGGUGAAUGUUCCUCGUGGAAUUCAUUUCCAAACUGAAAGUCUUGUGUUAAUGUGCACCACCUCAUUCUUUGCUUGCAGCCCUGGGUAAUUCAGCAGGUGCUCUGCUGGCUGUGGGUGUGUUCAUGACACAUCAAUGCUGACAAAAUGGUCUCACUCGACCCGUCUUGAAACACGGACCAAGGAGUCUAACAUAUGUGCAAGUUCCUGGGUGGCUAAACCUGUUGGCGUAAUGAAAGUGACUGCUGGGAUUUCUGCACCAGCAACCGACUGACCAAUUGAGAGAGGUUUGAGUAUGAGCACAUCUGUUAGGACCCGAAAGAUGGUGAACUAUGCCUGAGAAGGGUGAAGUCAGGGGAAACUCUGAUGGAGGCUCAUAGCGAUACUGACGUGCAAAUCGUUCGUCAUACUUGGGUAUAGGGGCGAAAGACUAAUCGAACCAUCUAGUAGCUGGUUCCCUCCGAAGUUUCCCUCAGGAUAGCUGGAGUUGAACAGUUUUAUCAGGUAAAGCNGAAUGAUUAGAGGAAUCGGGGACGCGUUGUCUUCGACCUAUUCUCAAACUUUAAAUGGGUAAGAUCCAGUGGUUACUUGAGUGAACUUCUGGGAUAAAUGACAACUCUAAGUGGGCCAUUUUUGGUAAGCAGAACUGGCGAUGAGGGAUGAACCUAACGUUGGGUUAAGGUGCUUAACUGCUCGCUCAUCAGAUACCAUAAAGGGUGUUGGUUCAUUUUAACAGCAGGACGGUGGUCAUGGAAGUCGAAAUCCGCUAAGGAGUGUGUAACAACUCACCUGCCGAAUGGACUAGCCCCGAAAAUGGAUGGCGCUCAAGCGGGUGACUGACACCCAACCAUUGUUGCAAUUGUGCUGCAUCAAUGAGUAGGAGGGCAUGGGGGUUGUGGUGAAGC